rnacentral:rRNA from 1 species
AGUGAACGCUGGCGGUAGGCCUAACACAUGCAAGUCGAACGGCAGCACAGUAAGAGCUUGCUCUUACGGGUGGCGAGUGGCGGACGGGUGAGGAAUACAUCGGAAUCUACUUUUUCGUGGGGGAUAACGUAGGGAAACUUACGCUAAUACCGCAUACGACCUACGGGUGAAAGCAGGGGAUCUUCGGACCUUGCGCGAUUGAAUGAGCCGAUGUCGGAUUAGCUAGUUGGCGGGGUAAAGGCCCACCAAGGCGACGAUCCGUAGCUGGUCUGAGAGGAUGAUCAGCCACACUGAAACUCAGACACGGUCCAGACUCCUACGGAAGGCAGCAGUGGGGAAUAUUGGACAAUGGGCGCAAGCCUGAUCCAGCCAUACCGCGUGGGUGAAGAAGGCCUUCGGGUUGUAAAGCCCUUUUGUUGGGAAAGAAAAGCAGCAGGUUAAUACCCCGCUGUUCUGACGGUACCCAAAGAAUAAGCACCGGCUAACUUCGUG